AAUCAACGCUGGCGGCGUGCCUAACACAUGCAAGUCGCACGAGAAAGGGACUUCGGUCCUGAGUACAGUGGCGCACGGGUGAGUAACACGUGAAUCAUCUACCUUCGAGUGGGAGUAACCUAGAGAAUACUGGGCGUAAUACCGCAUAAUACCUACGGGUCGAAAGACAGCAAUGCGCUUGAAGAGGAGUUCGCGGCAGAUUAGUUAGUUGG
rnacentral:rRNA from 1 species